rnacentral:rRNA from 1 species
GGGAACCCGGUGAACUGAAACAUCUUAGUAACCGGAGGAAAAGAAAGUAAGAACGAUUUCCAAAGUAGCGGCGAGCGAAAGGGAAAGAGCCCAAACCGAUUGUCUACGGACGAACGGGGUUUAGGACAGCGAGAAGGGAAACCUGUGUUAGUCGAAGGCGGCAGGAAAGCUGCACCGAAGAGGGUGAAAGUCCCGUAGAUGAAAACGCAGGGAACCGAGCUGGAUCCAGAGUACCACAGGACACGAGGAAUCCGGUGGGAAGAAGGGGGGACCACCCUCCAAGGCUAAAUACGACUUGGUGACUGAUAGAGAAAAAGUACCGUGAGGGAAAGGUGAAAAGAACCCCGGGAGGGGAGUGAAAGAGAACCUGAAACCGUAUGUUUACAAGCAGUGGAAGCACGAUUAAGUGCGACCGCGUACUUUUUGUAGAACGGACCGGCGAGUUACGUUAACAAGCGAGGUUAAGAUAUGGAGUAUCGGAGCCGCAGCGAAAGCGAGUCUGAAGAGGGCGAAAGUUAGUUGACGUAGACCCGAAACCGUGUGAUCUAUCCAUGGACAGGUUGAAGUAGGAGUAAAAUCUUAUGGAGGACCGAACCACACUGCCGUUGAAAAGGUAGGGGAUGAGCUGUGGAUAGGGGGGAAAUUCCAAACGAACAUCGAGAUAGCUGGUUCUCCUCGAAAUAGCUUUAGGGCUAGCCUCGGGGUAGAGAAUAAUGGAGGUAGAGCACUGAAUGAGCUAGGGGGCCACAAAGCUUACCGAACUCUAUCAAACUACGAAUGCCAUAUAUUUAUACCCGGGAGUCAGACGAUGUGAGAUAAGUCUCAUUGUCAAAAGGGAAACAGCCCAGACCUACAGCUAAGGUCCCGAAGUGCAGGUUAAGUGGAGAAGGAUGUGGAAUUGCAGAGACAACCAGGAUGUUGGCUUAGAAGCAGCCACUCAUUUAAAGAGUGCGUAAUAGCUCACUGGUCGAGUGAUUGUGCGCCGAAGAUAUAACGGGGCUAAAACCUGCCACCGAAGCUUAGGAAUGUUAGCAAUAACAUUGGUAGAGGAGCGCUGUAUAGCGGCGGAAGCUAAACCGGAAGGAUUGGUGGACGCUAUACAAGAGAGAAUGCCGGUAUAAGUAGCGAGAGCGGAGUGAGAAUCUCCGCCGUCGAAAGCCAAAGGAUUCCUGAGGAAGGUUCGUCCCCUCAGGGUAAGUCGGGACCUAAGCCGAGGGCGGUAGAGCCGUAGGCGAUGGAGAACUGGUAGAUAUUCCAGUACCACCUGACGCGAUAAAAUGAAGCAGUGACACAGGAGGAUAGUCAGAGCGCGCGGCUGGAAGAGCGCGUCCAAGCAGAGAGGGAGGAGCUAUGUAGUGAUAGCUUCAAUUCUGGUCUGUGAUGGGGAGUGAAAAUAGUAGCGAAGCUGAUGAAUUCACGCUGGCGAGAAAAGCUGCUAAGAGCGGAAAGGUGCCCGUACCGCAAACCGACACAGGUAGGCGAGGAGAGAAUCCUAAGACGAACGAGAGAACCCUUGUUAAGGAACUCGGCAAAAUUACCUCGUAACUUCGGGAGAAGGGGUGCCCAUUGAAAGAUGGGUCGCAGAGAAAAGGCUCAAGCGACUGUUUAACAAAAACACAGGUCUGUGCGAAUUCGAGAGAAGACGUAUACGGGCUGACGCCUGCCCGGUGCUGGAAGGUUAAGGGGAAUUGUAAGCGCAAGCGAAGCAAAGAACCGAAGCCCCAGUAAACGGCGGCCGUAACUAUAACGGUCCUAAGGUAGCGAAAUUCCUUGUCGGGUAAGUUCCGACCCGCACGAAUGGCGUAACGACUUGAGCGCUGUCUCAACAGGGGACUCGGCGAAAUUGUAGUAUGGGUGAAGAUGCCCAUUACCCGCGACUGGACGGAAAGACCCCGUAGAGCUUUACUGUAGCCUGAUAUUGGAUUUUGGUAAUGGAUGUACAGGAUAGGUGGGAGGCAUAGAAGCAAGGACGCCAGUCUUUGUGGAGCCGCCGUUGGGAUACCACCCUUUGAUUACCGGGGUUCUAACAGAGAGCCGUAAACCGGCGUUU